AGUGCUGGGAUUACAGGCUUGAGCCACCGCGCCCGGCCUAAAGUAAGACUUUCUAACCAACAUGAUAUAACCAAUUCUUUCCCUCCACUUCAAUGGUAGCCCUUGUGUCAGGCUUCUUAAUAUAAUUACAGAAUUGGUAUUUAUUUCAGUAUGUUGAAUUUUAAAUAAUCACCUGAACCCCUAAAUCUAUCUAAAUUUACUUGUGAUUUUUAAGGCUUAGAAUUGAGACAAUGGUAGAAGAACCUUUCAUUCCAUUCCAUUUCUCUAGAAGAGACUGCAUUGUUGCCUUUUCUUCAUUCUAAAAUGAAGACAUCUACUUUAUGUAUGCUUAGUACUGUUUUGUCAUUUGUACUUUUCUUAAUAAUUUAAGAAAAUUUUAGGCCAGUGUUUUUAAUAUGGGUUGCAACCCUUUAUUGGGUCAUGAAGUCAAUUUAUUGUGUACAGACCAACUUUUUUUUUAAUGGAGAGAAAGACAAUAGACAAGAACAUAAGAACAGAAAAAAGAGUACAGUGUUCAUUGCACAUAUAAGAGUAAGGAGGAGUAAGAGUCAAGUGCUAUUUUAUGAAACUUUUAGUGGUUUCAUAUUUUAGUGGGUUUUUGUGUUUUGGUUUUUGUUUUAUCACUUAAAGUUACUCAAAUAUGUAACUUCAUUUGCCAGCCAUUAAGAUGCAUCCCAGUAGGAUCAGUCUUGACAUAUGUGAACCUGACUGUAUUUCAAAGUAAUUGAUUAAUGUCAAGAAGUAUUUAUUGAGUGCCUGUUACCUGCUUGGCAAAUAGGAGUGAGGUUCCAAAUGAAGUGCUAUAAGUAAAA